rnacentral:misc_RNA from 1 species
UACGGAGGGUGCAAGCGUUGCUCGGAAUUACUGGGCGUAAAGCGCACGCAGGCGGCCUUUCAGGUCGGGUGUGAAAGCCCGGGGCUCAACCCCGGAAUUGCACUCGAAACCGGAAGGCUUGAGCCCGGGAGAGGGGGGUGGAAUUCCUGGUGUAGAGGUGAAAUUCGUUGAUAUCAGGAGGAACACCGGCGGCGAAGGCGGCCCCCUGGCCCGGUUCUGACGCUCAUGUGCGAAAGCGUGGGUAGCAAACAGG